GAUGAACGCUAGCGGCAGGCCUAACACAUGCAAGUCGAGGGAGAAGCCCUUCGGGGCAGAAACCGGCGCACGGGUGCGUGACGCGUAUGCAACCUACCUUUCACAGGGGGAUAGCCCGAAGAAAUUUGGAUUAAUACCCCAUAAUAUUAUUGGAUGGCAUCAUUUGAUAAUUAAAACUGCGGUGGUGAAAGAUGGGCAUGCGUCCUAUUAGCUAGUUGGAGUGGUAACGGCACCCCAAGGCUACGAUAGGUAGGGGUCCUGAGAGGGAGAUCCCCCACACUGGUACUGAGACAGGGACCAGACUCCUACGGGAGGCAGCAGUGAGGAAUAUUGGUCAAUGGUCGGAAGACUGAACCAGCCAUGCCGCGUGCAGGAAGAAUGCCUUAUGGGUUGUAAACUGCUUUUAUAUGGGAAGAAUAAGGCGUACGUGUACGUGAUGACGGACCAUAAGAAAAGCU
rnacentral:rRNA from 1 species